rnacentral:rRNA from 1 species
GCUUGAAGUCAGUCGCGUUGUCCGGAACUCAGCCUUGCUUUUGCUUGGUGCACUUUCCGGAUGACGGGUCAGCAUCGAUUUUGACCGUCGGAAAAGGGCUGGAGUAAUGUGGCACCUCCGGGUGUGUUAUAGACUCUGGUCGCAUACGGCGGUUGGGAUCGAGGAACGCAGCGCGCCGCGAGGCAGGGGUUCGCCCACUUUCGCGCUUAGGAUGCUGGCAUAAUGGCUUUAAACGACCCGUCUUGAAACACGGACCAAGGAGUCUAACAUACUUGCGAGUGUUUGGGUGGAAAACCCGAGCGCGUAAUGAAAGUGAAAGUUGAGAUCCCUGUCGUGGGGAGCAUCGACGCCCGGACCAGACGUUCUCUGACGGAUCCGCGGUAGAGCAUGUAUGUUGGGACCCGAAAGAUGGUGAACUAUGCCUGAAUAGGGUGAAGCCAGAGGAAACUCUGGUGGAGGCUCGUAGCGAUUCUGACGUGCAAAUCGAUCGUCAAAUUUGGGUAUAGGGGCGAAAGACUAAUCGAACCA